AACAUGUCUUUUUGAAAAUAAUUUUAAGUYUAAUCUGCUCCAUGAAAAUUUUUAAAUAGCUGCAGUAUUUUGACUGUACAAAGGUAGCAUAAUCAAUAGUUUUUUAAUUAAAAGCUGGAAUGAAUGAUUUUAUGAAAUAAUUUCUGUCUCAAGUUAAAUAAUUUUAUAAUUUUUUUUUUAGUAAAAAAACUAAUAUGAUUUUAAAAGACGAGAAGACCCUAUAGAAUUUUAUAAUUUUAAAUUAAAUUAAUUUAUAAUUUAAAAUAAAAUUAUUAGGUUGGGGAAAUUAUUAAAUUUGAUUAAUUUUAAUUAAUUAUUAAACAAAAAUUAUUGAGUAUAAGAUUUUAAUUUUAAAAUAAAAGAAUUAAAUUACCUUAGGGAUAACAGCGUAAUUUUUUUAGUGAGUUCUUAUUAAUAAAAAAGUUUGCGACCUCGAUGUUGAAUUAAAAUAAAAUUUUAAUGAAGAAGUUAAAAAUUUUUGGUCUGUUCGACCAUUAAUAUUUUACGUGAU
rnacentral:rRNA from 1 species